GCAGAAGAAAAAUUUGUGGGAAAAUGGUUCAACAAGGGGAAGCAAUUUUGCUUUUCAAAUUCUUAAAGGUUUUAAUGAAGGGAAUUAAAAUUCAGACAAGGCAUUUUGGGAACUAAAUUAUCUGUCACCACAAAGCAUGCAAGAAACAGCAGUAGCUCAGGUGCUUCGCCAUUAGAUAAUGUUACAAUUUUCACAUCCAACAGUUGCAGGGUAAAUAGAUUAGCAUAGUUAAUAGACUACCCUAACACAUAACAGUAUACCACACAUGAAACUUGGGUAACU
rnacentral:misc_RNA from 1 species